rnacentral:lncRNA from 1 species
UGGCAUUACUGGAGGCCAAUGUCCGAAUUUGGGGUGGUGAAAUGGAGGAAGCUUUGGUGGUGGAGGAAUAGGCUUAUGAUAGAUUGGUGGUUUUGGAUGAAGUGGAGGGAGAGGGAAGAUUGGUGGUUUUGGAGGAAGUGGAGGUAGAGGCUUAUAAACGACCGGUGGUUUUGGCUUGUAGAUUGGCACUGGAGGAGGCUUGUACACUGGAACCGGUGGUGGCUUUGGUUUUGGCUCAUAGACAGGAACUGGAGGAGGCUUGUACACUGGAACUGGUGGUGGCUUUGGUUUUGGCUCGUAGACAGGAACUGGAGGGGGCUUGUAAAUUGGAACUGGUGGUUUAGGUGGAAACGGUUUCUUGAAAGGAGGGCAUGGUUUCUUGGGUAUUGGUGGUGGCUUGUAGACUGGUACUGGUGGAGGGAGUGGCUUAGGAGGGAAAACUUUCGGUGGCGGCUUAUAGACUGGCACUGGUGGUUUAGGUGGAAGCGGUUUCUUGGGAGGGCAAGGUUUCUUGGGUAGUGGUGGUGGCUUGUAGAGCGGCACCGGUGGUGGCUUGUAGACUGGCACUGGUGGAGGGAGUGGCUUUGGAGGGAAAACUUUCGGUGGCGGCUUAUACACAGGCACUGGUGGAGGGAAAACUUUCGGUGGGGGCUUAUACACAGGCACUGGUGGAGGGAAAACUUUCGGUGGGGGCUUAUACACAGGCACUGGUGGAGGGAAAACUUUCGGUGGUGUUGGUGGCGGCUUGUAGACUGGCACUGAUGGCGGCUGGUAGACCACUUUGGGUGGAAGGGGAGGGAAAAGAUGUGGUGGAAGGGGAGGGAAAAGAU